rnacentral:lncRNA from 1 species
CAGCCCACAUAAGUCUACAUAUGCCUAACAGAGCGAAUUGCUUCGCGAAGGGACCGGAGAGCGCUGCGGUAUGUUUGGGCUGCAGCAGCGCUCGGAGCCCUGAGACAGGCUAGUAGCUACUUCCAACUUUAAAACCUGAGCUACUGAGCUACUGAGCUAAUGAGCUACGAGCUAAGGAGCUACUGAGCUAAUGAGCUAACCUCCCCGAGGGAGGAAGAGCGCAGCUCGGAGGGGAAAGCGUUCAGCUCUUACGCGCGCGCGCGGAAGCCAACUCUUGUUUGCACGGUACUUGCGUUUUGCGACCCGACUAUUUCCUCCGAGGAAAUAGAAUAAGGGAAGACCACUUUUGAGCCCAACCUCCCCCGAGGGGAGACGAGCAAAGCUCGGAGGGGGCAACGGUCCGCUCUAUCUACUUCCCGACUAUUUCCGCUUCGGAAAUAGAGUAAGGGAAGCCCGCUCUUGCUGCUACUGAGCUUCUUUAGCAGUUGUUGCUCUACUUUCUCUUACUAGGAGCUGCUCUAUCUCCGGAUCAGCUCCCAAAGGGGCUGCCUCCGGGCUUGAUAGCAUUUAUACUAGUAACCCUGUCUACAACAAUACACUUUCCAAUAGGACCCGAAAUACGAGCCUUAUUGAGCCUUGUAUUGCUUGUAAGACUUUAGCAGCUAAGCCGCCUCUACGAGCCGACUUAACACAUACAGAAACAACAACAGAAACGCAUACGAGGGCGAUAAGCCUCUCCUGGAUUUCCCCCGAAAGGGGACUCUUACUGUCAUUGAAAUUACCCCCCUAAAGGUGAAAAUUCAAGAUGUCAGAGAUCCCAAUUUCCCUUUCGUACGGAACCACCCUAUCGAGUACCGCUUUGAACAGAAGGUCCCCCUGGCCCCUCCUGUUCCUUUCCCAAGACUGCCUUAAAGCUUACUGGGAAAGCCACUGCCUUAUUGUCUCAGAGUCUAUGACUGUCGUCUCUAGGAUCGCUAAACGCGAGCCAUCGAGUAAGCCUUUUUCCCUAAUCCUUGUCCGGUUAGGGCCUUAACUGAGGUUCAGUGGUUAUUAUACGAGUUUAACUUUGCAGAGUUAUUUCCCUGUAUCUAAGUCCGGAACUUAUAAGAUAACUGAACAGGUACGGCCGCUAGAGACUACUAGCUUCAACAAAUACAAAACUCCUAACUACAUAGGGUCCGGAAAAAGCAUAUGUGAGUUAACACUCUGGAAGGGAAGUUACUCCAGGGUUGGAGUAACGACCGAUCUCACAGGAAAGGUUUCAUAUAAGAAUACAAGCCAGCCCACAUAAGUCUACAUAUGCCUAACAGAGCGAAUUGCUUCGCGAAGGGACCGGAGAGCGCUGCGGUAUGUUUGGGCUGCAGCAGCGCUCGGAGCCCUGAGACAGGCUAGUAGCUACUUCCAACUUUAAAACCUGAGCUACUGAGCUACUGAGCUAAUGAGCUACGAGCUAAGGAGCUACUGAGCUAAUGAGCUAACCUCCCCGAGGGAGGAAGAGCGCAGCUCGGAGGGGAAAGCGUUCAGCUCUUACGCGCGCGCGCGGAAGCCAACUCUUGUUUGCACGGUACUUGCGUUUUGCGACCCGACUAUUUCCUCCGAGGAAAUAGAAUAAGGGAAGACCACUUUUGAGCCCAACCUCCCCCGAGGGGAGACGAGC